rnacentral:SRP_RNA from 1 species
GCCAUGUCAUUACAACAUAAAAACGCGAACCGUGUCAGGUUAGAAAUAAAGCAGCACUAAGCAAUUUUUUUGUGUGUAGUGGCAUUUUUUA